rnacentral:rRNA from 1 species
GACGAACGCUGGCGGCGUGCUUAACACAUGCAAGUCGAACGGAAAGGCCCUGCUUUUGUGGGGUGCUCGAGUGGCGAAAGGGUGAGUAACACGUGAGUAACCUGCCCUUGACUUUGGGAUAACUUCAGGAAACUGGGGCUAAUACCGGAUAGGAGCUCCUGCUGCAUGGUGGGGGUUGGAAAGUUUCGGCGGUUGGGGAUGGACUCGCGGCUUAUCAGCUUGUUGGUGGGGUAGUGGCUUACCAAGGCUUUGACGGGUAGCCGGCCUGAGAGGGUGACCGGCCAAAUUGGGACUGAGAUACGGCCCGAACUCCUACGGGAGGCAGCAGUGGGGAAUAUUGCACAAUGGGCGGAAGCCUGAUGCAGCAACGCCGCGUGCGGGAUGACGGCCUUCGGGUUGUAAACCGCUUUCGCCUGUGACGAAGCGUGAGUGACGGUAAUGGGUAAAGAAGCACCGGCUAACUACGUG